rnacentral:lncRNA from 1 species
UUCAGAACAGAGCCACAGCAGAGAGCACACAGCCCAUGUUGGGUGGCAGAAAGCACAGAGAUUGAAGUUCCCUACUGAACCCAGGAAAAGUUUCAAGAUUCUGGAGAAGGACCCAGAUGGAAUUUUUUUGGUGACAGGUCUUCCUAGUGGAUGGUGGUCAAGAUGAAGGGAAAAAGAACAUGGAACAGUCCAGUGAAGAGAUGAUAAUGUUUGGAUGAGUUUUACCUGGAUGGAAAGCCUGAAAGAAAUUGUUAACGUACAUGUGGAAAAUACCAAAUGUUCAGAUACUGCCUGAUCACCUGUCUGCAAGCACA